CAGCCGCCACGGUAAUGCGUAGGGUGCAAGCGUUAAUCGGAAUUACUGGGCGUAAAGCGUGCGCAGGCGGCUAUGCAAGACAGAUGUGAAAUCCCCGGGCUCAACCUGGGAACUGCAUUUGUGACUGCAUGGCUAGAGUACGGUAGAGGGGGAUGGAAUUCCGCGUGUAGCAGUGAAAUGCGUAGAUAUGCGGAGGAACACCGAUGGCGAAGGCAAUCCCCUGGACCUGUACUGACGCUCAUGCACGAAAGCGUGGGGAGCGAACAGGAUUAGAUACCCCCGUAGUCCCUGUCUCUUAUAC
rnacentral:rRNA from 1 species